rnacentral:tRNA from 1 species
GCUCCCGUAGCUCAGGGGAUAGAGCAGCGGAUUUCUAAUCCGUUGGUCGCAGGUUCAAAUCCUGCCGGGAGCGCCA